UCCUGGAGGAGAUGAUGCGACAAGAAGGAGAGCGGCUCAGAAAUCGACGCUCUUUAAUUCUGGGCAUCCCUUCAUUUUCAUUUCGACGGCUCCUUCUGAAAUGAUCUUCUCCUUCAGUCCUCAUGUAAGAUUCACUAAUUGGCUUUUUAAUUAUUAUCUUAAAUCAUCUGAUUCUGCUUGUUUCUCUUUGAAGUGUUUGCACCCUUAUUGUUUGUCAGGAUCUGGCCGCUCAGCUUUGCUAUACAGCACGCAGGCUAAUGCUGCAUGGCCUGGCCUACAGAUGGAUCCUCUGCUCCUCUGUGUUCCAUCAAAUCUGGUCUUAGCCUCAUUUAUAUCCAUGGUCACCUGGUUGUUUCUCCUGUAAUGGCUGCCUGCUUGAUGUGUCCUUGACAUGUCAUGACAAGAAACAGAGAUGGAGAAUUGUCUGCGUUCAGUGCAGGAUUUUUCUGUUCUGUUUGGUGCCGAUGAAGGGGGAGAGCAGUUGUGAGCAGUUGAUGGCUGCCAUGAAUUUGCAGAGCAGAAGGGAUGAGGAGCUGCAGGUAUACAUGUGACCUUUAAAUCAUGCAUGCAGGGAGCUGUGUUUCUGAGUAAGCUAAUUACAGUAGGAACAUUUGUUUCUCACUUUGUCACAUGGGAUUUUUUCUAAUGAUGGAGAGAAUUGUUUGAAUAGACAAUAAAUAUAUUAAUAGAUUUUAGUCACUGUGUGGCUGUAAGACAAACGCACAGCUUGAAAGAAAUCAGAGCACUAGCUAACUCAAGGUUAUUUCCUGCUGCCUGUCCAUCCCCCGCCUGUGUCGGACUUUUGGGCGGCCUCCCUCAGUGUUCACAGUGGACCUUGAUUUAAAAUCAGUCAAUUAAGGCACGCGGUGAAUGCCAAGUGAGGAGCCUCGCUGCAGCACAGUGGCUCACACUGGAGAGGGAAUGUACUCAAAGCUGCUCCACAUAUGUGUGCUGUUCCUCCUUCCUCAGGGGAUCAGAGAAGUCCAAAGAAGUUUGAGUUCAUAAAUGCAUGUUUUUAAAGAAUGUAAAUGACGUUUUAUCUUGUAUGCUUAGAGGGGAUGAAGUAUUAGAGAGGAAAUUGUUGUACAAUGUCUGAAAUUGUCUUUAUGAUGUAUUUAAUAAAGUUGCAUUUGUUGUA